rnacentral:piRNA from 1 species
UACAGCCUAUGCAUUUCAGAUCCUCUGAGA